GACGAACGCUGGCGGCGUGCUUAACACAUGCAAGUCGAACGGAAAGGCCCUGCUUUUGUGGGGUGCCCGAGUGGCGAACGGGUGAGUAACACGUGAGUAACCUGCCCUUGACUUUGGGAUAACUUCAGGAAACUGGGGCUAAUACCGGAUAGGAGCUCCUGCUGCAUGGUGGGGGUUGGAAAGUUUCGGCGGUUGGGGAUGGACUCGCGGUUUAUCAGCUUGUUGGUGGGGUAGUGGCUUACCAAGGCUUUGACGGGUAGCCGGCCUGAUAGGGUGACCGGCCACAUUGGGACUGAGAUACGGCCCAGACUCCUACGGGAGGCAGCAGUGGGGAAUAUUGCACAAUGGGCGGAAGCCUGAUGCAGCAACGCCGCGUGCGGGAUGACGGCCUUCGGGUUGUAAACCGCUUUCGCCUGUGACGAAGCGUGAGUGACGGUAAUGGGUAAAGAAGCACCGGCUAACUACGUG
rnacentral:rRNA from 1 species